UUCUAAUAAUAACUGGGAUAGCUCAGUUGGCAGAGUGUGAGCCUCUUAAUUUCAGGGUUGUGGGUUCGAGUUUCACAUUGGGAA